rnacentral:rRNA from 1 species
UACGGGGGGGGCAAGCGUUGUUCGGAAUUACUGGGCGUAAAGGGCUCGUAGGCGGCCAACUAAGUCAAACGUGAAAUCCCUCGGCUUAACCGGGGAACUGCGCUUGAUACUGGAUGGCUUGAGAUUGGGAGAGGGAUGCGGAAUUCCAGGUGUAGCGGUGAAAUGCGUAGAUAUCUGGAGGAACACCGGUGGCGAAGGCGGCAUCCUGGACCAACACUGGCGCUGAGUGAGCGAAAGCCAGGGGAGCAAACGGG